GAACGCUUCGUUUUUAUCCUUG
rnacentral:miRNA from 1 species